CCGAGACUGAUGGAGCCACCCUCCCACCAGAAGGGCGGCGUGGAGGACCGGAGACCGAAAGUCGGGCCUCUGGGAGAAGCAGCUGGCGCCCAGGGGCUCCGCCGCCCGCACCCCACUCUCGCCCGCUGGGGACGCCCUUCCCUCCCCAAGGCGUGGACGCCCCGCUCCGCUUCUCUCUACGCAGGCCCGCGCGGCCGCUACCUGCAGCACUUGGCCAGGCUCUCCCGCAGCGUCUUGCGCUCCUGCAGGCGCCGCUCGUGCUGUUGCUGGAAAGCGAGCUCGCUGUAGACCGGCCGCGACACCAUGUAGCUGCAGCUGUACUCGGGGAGCUGCGGCGGCUCCGACCUGCCGCCUGGCGCUGCCAUGACCUGCGAGCCAGAGGACAGCGAGGAGGGAGGACACGCGACAUGAUCUCAUUCUGUUGCCCAGGGUGAGUGCAGUGGCACCUUCAUGGCUCAUUGCAGUCUCGAUCUCCCAGGCUCAAGCGAUCCUCCCACCUCAGCCUCCCAAAGUGCUGGGAUUGCAGGCGUGAGCCACCUUGCCCAGCCCAUUCUGCAAUCUUCGGAAGGAAGUCACUAUAUGCAGCCUAUGCUUGAGGAGUGGGGAGUUGAAUUCCACAUCCUUGAGGGCAGAAUACCUAAAUAAAU
rnacentral:lncRNA from 1 species